AAAUAUCUCAACCUAAAGUUGACCCUGUAAUCCUUCACCUUCGUCCAACGUUUCAUAGCCUCUCAUCUCUCAAAGACCCUAUAUGAGACACCUUUUCUUUGAAGGCAACAAUAUACAAGAAUCUACUCUCCUCAUCUGCACACUGCCAUAAACACUCUUACCUACACCACCUCUACCGACGACCUUCACCAUUGCUCCACCCGAAGACCAUCGGACGCUGAGAAAUUGACCCCGGCCACGUCGCUGCCCUCUACCUACCCAGCACAUCCAACGCCGCCCUCCCCCCGACGCUUCCCAUUAUCUGAUUUUGUUCUCGCCAAAAUAUGCUCGCUUUAGAUAUGGUAGGUUCUUGGAAAUCAUUAGUACUACUCCUAGCUGUUGAACAUAAAGAUGUGUGCACCCCUAGAGAUAAAGUCCAGUGUCUAGAUUGGAGGACCAAAUAUUGCUUCACUACCUACCUUCCAACAGGUACAUUUAAAAACAAUUUUUUAUUGUUACUGGUGAAAUUUUCCUUAACUGAGUUGGUUUGUAUGAGUGUCCAAAAUCAGUUAUCUGAAAGUUUCAGAUUUCAAGGCACCUGGUAGCUUUGUUGUGGGAUUUCGAUUGACUUUUUUUUGCCAAAACCCAGAUUAUUGUAAUAGUCUUUUUUGCUGUUCAGGGUUAUAAGGAAGAGGCAGGGGAGCUGGUUGAGCAUAUGAAAACUUUUUUUAAUGAUUAUUUUAAACUUAUUUGCUUUGUCAUAUGGUUUUAAAAUAAUUUACAGAAAAUGCUUAUGGCAUGACUGAAAAUGUGAUUCAAUAUAACAAUAAGUUAUUGAUUGAACAUAAUAAAGUUCCUACAGAUCGUUUGAUACACAAUGCAUCAAAAAUCCUCCUUUGGACGCACAUUUACUGAUUAAAUAUAGCACAUAGCAGUAGCUGCAUGAUGUUCAAGUUGAUAGUGAUGUGUGGCUACUGCCUAAUUCAUGGUUUGUAUUCAAAAAAUGAAAAUGGCGGGUCAAAGUGCUUCCACUACCCCUGGAUCCAAGCUUAUGACACAAAUGAUUAUAUUACUUGGAAAUAUUAGAAGAAGCUUGGCCGGAAUAUAUUAAAGAGUUUAUGUCAUUUAGUAGUAAUUAACCAAUGUUAAAAUUUAUUACUUAUAAUCAUCGUUAGCUAAAAGCAAAUGUUCAAUUUAAUAUUAAUAACUAAUGUAAUCUAUGAGGACACCGUACAUUCCCAUGUAUUUUUCCCUUUAUUUGUAAUACAAAUCUUGCUGAGUGGGUUCUUAUGUUUAACUAUAUAUGUC